GAUGAACGCUGGCGGCGUGCCUAAUACAUGCAAGUCGAGCGAACGGACGAGAAGCUUGCUUCUCUGAUGUUAGCGGCGGACGGGUGAGUAACACGUGGAUAACCUACCUAUAAGACUGGGAUAACUUCGGGAAACCGUAGCUAAUACCGGAUAAUAUUUUGAACCGCAUGGUUCAAAAGUGAAAGACGGUCUUGCUGUCACUUAUAGAUGGAUCCGCGCUGCAUUAGCUAGUUGGUAAGGUAACGGCUUACCAAGGCAACGAUGCAUAGCCGACCUGAGAGGGUGAUCGGCCACACUGGAACUGAGACACGGUCCAGACUCCUACGGGAGGCAGCAGUAGGGAAUCUUCCGCAAAGGGCGAAAGCCUGACGGAGCAACGCCGCGUGAGUGAUGAAGGUCUUCGGAUCGUAAAACUCUGUUAUUAGUGAAGAACAUAUGUGUAAGUAACUGUGCACAUCUUGACGGUACCUAAUCAGAAAGCCACGGCUAACUACGUG
rnacentral:rRNA from 1 species